GAUGAACGCUGGCGGCGUGCCUAAUACAUGCAAGUCGAGCGAAGCGGGGACGGGUGAGUAACACGUGGAUAACCUCCUAUAAGACUGGGAUCACUUCUGGAAACCGGAGCUAAACCGGAAACUUAUAGAUGGAUCCGCGCUGCAUUAGCUAGUUGGUAAGGUAACGGCUUACCAAGGCAACGAUGCAUAGCAGACCUGGGAGGGUGAUCGGCCACACUGUAACUGCGACACGGUCCAGACUCCUACGGGAGGCAGAAGGAGGGAAUGUUCCGCAAUGGGCGAAAGCCUGACGGAGCAACGGCGCGUGAUUGAGGACGGUCUUCAGAUCGUAAAACGCUGUUAUUAGGGAAGCGGUACCUAAUCAGAAAGCCACGGCUAACUACGUGCCAGCAGCCGCUGUAAUAC
rnacentral:rRNA from 1 species